rnacentral:rRNA from 1 species
CAAACUAAACAGGGUUCUCUGAGUAACUGCGAGUGACCAGAGAUUAGCCCAACAUCGAAGCCACCAUGCAUUUGUAUGGGAGGCAAUGUGAUGUUUUGGUGUUUAAACGCACUGUCUGGCUAACUUGAAGUCCAUAUUUGACUGUGGCUUGUAUUUAUACACCUAGAGAUGGUGAUAGGCCCGUUCAGGUUGGUAUUCUGGCAUGACAGUUCAGUGUGUAAUCAUUCAUCAUAGAGUCGGAUUGCUUGAGAGUGCAGUCCAAAAUGGGUGGUAAACUCCAUCUAAGGCUAAAUACCUGUACGAGUCCGAUAGUCAACAAGUACCGUGAGGGAAAGUUGAAAAGUACUCUGAAGAGAGAGUAAAUAGUACGUGAAACCACAUGGAGGUUAAACAAAUAGAGUCAAGCUGCUUGCAUCAUAUCAUUGCAAUAUGCGCAUUUUGUUGCAUGACAUUUGCCGGGACCUGGCGUGUGAUUCUGUCUACUUGUAGGCAUUUGAACAUGUGUUUGUUGUUUGAAAGGUCUCGGUGAGUGUCUGCGCUUAUUGUUCAUGAUGGGUGCUAAUGCCAUAGUCGGUUGUACUACCAGUGCGCAGUAAUCGGCGAUUGUGCGGGCUGACUUAUUGUCGUUCGUGCAAUCAGUGAAACAGUUGGCAACAGUGUGUGCUUGCAUUCGCUUUUGUCAAAGAAGGCCACGGCCUGUUGAUUACUGUGAACAUUGUGAGAGUCGACCGUUCAUAUGUGCUCAUAUAAUUUGUGGUAGUAAGUCGACUUGUCGACUACUUCCAUAAAUAAGCUUAUGAGCUAUGGUAUUGUGGUAGACUUUCUAUUUGACCCGUCUUGAAACACGGACCAAGGAGUU